AGAGUUUGAUCAUGGCUCAGAACGAACGCUGGCGGCAGGCCUAACACAUGCAAGUCGAACGACAUAGUGGCAGACGGGUGAGUAACGCGUGGGAACGUACCUUUCGCUACGGAAUAGCUCUUGGAAACGAGUGGUAAUACCGUAUACGCCCUCCGGGGGAAAGAUUUAUCGGCGAAAGAUCGGCCCGCGUUAGAUUAGGUAGUUGGUGGGGUAAUGGCCUACCAAGCCUACGAUCUAUAGCUGGUCUGAGAGGAUGAUCAGCCACACUGGGACUGAGACACGGCCCAGACUCCUACGGGAGGCAGCAGUGGGGAAUCUUGCACAAUGGGCGAAAGCCUGAUGCAGCCAUGCCGCGUGAAUGAUGAAGGCCUUAGGGUUGUAAAAUUCUUUCGCCAGGGAUGAUAAUGACAGUACCUGGUAAAGAAGCCCCGGCUAACUUCGUGCCAGCAGCCGCGGUAAUACGAAGGGGGCUAGCGUUGUUCGGAAUUACUGGGCGUAAAGCGCACGUAGGCGGACUUUUAAGUCAGAUGUGAAAUCCCGGGGCUCAACCUCGGAACUGCAUUUGAAACUGGAAGUCUGGAGUUCAGGAGAGGUUAGCGGAAUACCGAGUGUAGAGGUGAAAUUCGUAGAUAUUCGGUGGAACACCAGUGGCGAAGGCGGCUAACUGGACUGAUACUGAC
rnacentral:rRNA from 1 species